CGCCGGGACAUUGCUACGAGGAGCGAGGACUUUUAAAAAUUACGAAACAACGAACCACUUCUUCGCGCUGAUUAUUGUUCACGGAUUCCUGUUUACGCGCCGAUUCGCUCUUCGAGGAUUCUCAAUUCUGGAUUUACUUCGGAUUUUUCGAUCAACUGAUUUUUUUACGCGGCAACAUGUCGCGGUUACAUUGAUGUAUGCAAAUCCCGGAGAAAAAGCUCGCUGCGGAACGGAACAUUCAAUCUGUACUCUCAAGCCCUUUGCUUUCCCUCCCUCCCUCCCUCCCUCCCUCCCUCUCGCACUCACUUUUUUCAUACGCUUCUAGUAGUCAUGUGAGCACCGCUUCCCCCACUCCUUUACAUUUAUCAACGUUCGAUCUCCCGCUCUCGCUCGCUUCGUUAUCCCUUCUGCAUUCCCGUGUAUGUAUGCGCAUUUGUUUGUUGGUAUUCCUUUUUUUUUCACUGCUAUCCCUCAAUUAUACUCUCCCAAAUGGCCGCGCAUACUUUCCCGCCCAACGAUGACGCUCUGGUUAACCUCAAAUUAUCCGAUUAUUAGCUCCCAAUCGUCCAACCGUCUUUCGCUCUCACCCACUCUUCCCACACUGCCUUCCCUUUCUCCUCUUCUCCAUGCUCACCAUUUUUCGUUGCGCUUUUUUCCGCAUUUCGGACGAUGCCGACAACCGUUUUUUUAACCGGACAUUAGUUAUUCUGGAAUUUUGAGAAUUGUGUCAAGAAAAAUCACAUUUUUUAAUGUCUGCGAGAGUAAACGGGAAGUCGGGAAGAACUCAACACGGAAUAAUUAUUAGGUUUUAAGAACGUUGUACGGACAUUUUUCCGAAGUUCGGAAUCAUUCGUUAUUCGUCGUAUUUCACCGUUUUUCCAAAUUUCAUCAAUUUUUCGUCUAUGUUCAAAUUCAUCAUGAUUCGUACAUUCGAGAUGAAAUUUGGAAUAUAAAUUCCAUUUUUCACCAACUGGUACGCAAAGUCAGAGAUACGCAAAUGCGGGAGGAAGCGUGCAAACAUGAGAGCUCUCUCUCGAGAGAGGCGUGGUGGCAAGUUCAACGUUUUCUGCAUCCCGGAAGUAUCCGAUAAUGUAGGACUCUACAUGACCGACCGGCGCUCCGAGUGUUGCAAAAGGAACCGCGAGAGGCCUGCACUCCCGCUCGCGUCAAAAUUCCGUUCUUCGAUCCACGGGGGAAACAAAAUUUUGAUCAUUUUAGAUUUCAUGCUAAAAUAUCGGCGGAAGUGACCUUUUCAUCGAAAUAGUACACACGAGAUUGCCCUAAAAACAGUAGAAGCUGCUGUGUGAAAGAUGUUAAUUGUUUUUGUAUUUUUUUGGGCUGCUGUACUAAAGGCGCCUUCGGAUUGUAAAAGAGUUGACUUUCCACGCAUAUUCUCAAAAAUGAAAUUUUCGUCAUAAUAAAUUUAGUUUGAAUAA